rnacentral:rRNA from 1 species
AUUGAACGCUGGCGGCAGGCCUAACACAUGCAAGUCGAGCGGAGCGGCGGACGGGUGAGUAAUGCCUAGGAAUCUGCCUGGUAGUGGGGGAUAACGUCCGGAAACGGGCGCUAAUACCGCAUACUAUCAGAUGAGCCUAGGUCGGAUUAGCUAGUUGGUGGGGUAAAGGCCUACCAAGGCGACGAUCCGUAACUGGUCUGAGAGGAUGAUCAGUCAAUCUGGAACUGAGACACGGUGAAGAGGCCUACGGGCGGCAGCAGUGGGGAAGAUUGGACAAUGGGCGAAAGCGUGAUCGAGCCAUGCCGCGUGGGUGAAGAAGGUCUUCGGAGUGUAAAGCACUAAAAGUUGGGAGGCGUUACCAGCAGAAUAAGCGCCGGCUAACUUCGUGCCAGCAGCCGCGGUAAUUC